CAGCCGCCGCGGGAAAACGGAGGGGGCUAGCGUUGUUCGGAAUUACUGGGCGUAAAGCGCACGUAGGCGGCUUGGUUAGUUAGAGGUGAAAGCCCAGGGCUCAACCCUGGAAUUGCCUUUAAGACUGCCGAGCUAGUAGGUGAGAGAGGUGAGUGGAAUUCCGAGUGUAGAGGUGAAAUGCGUAGAUAUUAGGAAGAACACCAGUGGCGAAGGCGACUUUCUGGACGAAAACUGACGCUGAGGCGCGAAAGCCAGGGGAGCGAACGGGAUUAGAUACCCCUGUAGUCCCUGUCUCUUAUAC
rnacentral:rRNA from 1 species